rnacentral:lncRNA from 1 species
AAAAUGCAAGUCUAACCAUUUUAUUGUGCUCAAUAAAGUAAAAACAUACAGAGGAAGAUUGUCACAUUGGAUUUUAUAAUGCAGGUUUUAUAAUAGGUAGUACAGACUGAUAUUAAUAAGAUACAACUGAUUUUAUACAGCAAAAUUUGUAAGUACAUUUACAACUGGUAAGAUACAACCAGGAAAAGGAUAAAGCGAAGUGCAGAGUAGCACUGAUGUCCAUAUAGUCUUCUUUUACACAUUUUGACAGGGGUUGGUGAAC